rnacentral:rRNA from 1 species
AUUGAACGCUGGCGGCAGGCCUAACACAUGCAAGUCGAACGAGUCGCGGACGGGUGAGUAAUGUCUGGGAACCUGCCUGAUGGACGGGGAUAACUACUGGAAACGGUAGCUAAUACCGCAUACCAUCGGAUGUGCCCAGAUGGGAUUAGCUAGUAGGUGGGGUAAAGGCUCACCUAGGCGACGAUCCCGAGCUGGUCUGAGAGGAUGACCAGCCAGACUGGGACUGAGACACGGUCCAGAAUACAACGGGAGGAGGCAGUGGGGAAUAUGGCAAAAUGGGCGCAAGCCUGAUGCAGCCAAGCCGCGUGUAUGAAGAAGGCCUUCGGGUUGUAAAGUACUGUCAACGGGGAGGCGUGACCAGAAGAAGAAGCACCGGCUAACUCCGUGCCAGCAGCCGCGGUAAUUC